ACAAAGUUUUGGUCCUAAACUUGCCAUUGUUUUUAAUCAAGAUUACACAUGCAAGUCUCAGCACACCAGUGAAAAUGCCCACAGCACCCCAAACAGACCACCGGAGCGGGUAUCAGGCCCAAUCGAUAUUAGCCCGAGACACCUUGCUUUGCCACACCCCCACGGGCACUCAGCAGUGAUUAACCUUAACCAUAAGCGAAAGCUUGACUUAGCUAUGAUUAAUAAGGUCGGUAAAUUUCGUGCCAGCCACCGCGGUUACACGAAAGACUUAAUAUAAUGGCAGCCGGCGUAAAGCGUGACUAUAGUAAUUAUCACAAAACUUUAAAGAUAAGCCACUACAAAGCCGUAAAACGCUACUAUAAGUGACAAGUACUUCAACGUCUUUAAACCCCCUGAUUACUUCACCUCACGAAAGCUAAGAUACAAACUGGGAUUAGAUACCCCACUAUGCUUAGCCCUAAACAAAGACAACAUAAAACACAACAUUGUCCGCCAGAGAACUACAAGCGAAAAACUCAAAACUCCAAGGACUUGGCGGUGCUCCACACCAACCUAGAGGAGCCUGUCCUAUAAUCGAUAUUCCACGUUAAACCCUACCACCCCUGGCCACUCAGCCUAUAUACCGCCGUCGCCAGCAUACCUUGUGAAAGAAGCCGCAGUGUGCACAACAGUCAUAUACUAAUACGUCAGGUCAAGGUGUAGCAUAUGGGGUGGAAGAGAUGGGCUACAUUUUCUACCACAGAACAAACGAAAUGAGCAGUGAAACCUGCUCCUGAAGGUGGAUUUAGCAGUAAGAUAGCCAAGAAAUGCUAUCUUAAAACCGCUCUGGAGCGCGCACACACCGC
rnacentral:ncRNA from 1 species